AUACGGAGGAUCCGAGCGUUAUCCGGAUUUAUUGGGUUUAAAGGGAGCGUAGGUGGGAUAUUAAGUCAGCUGUGAAAGUUUGGGGCUCAACCUUAAAAUUGCAGUUGAUACUGGUUUCCUUGAGUACGGUACAGGUGGGCGGAAUUCGUGGUGUAGCGGUGAAAUGCUUAGAUAUCACGAAGAACUCCGAUCGCGAAGGCAGCUCACCGGGCCGGAACUGACACUGAUGCUCGAAAGGGCGGGUAUCAAACAGGAUUAGAUACCCUGGUAGUCCGCACAGUAAACGAUGAAUACUCGCUGUUUGCGAUACACUGUAAGCGGCCAAGCGAAAGCGUUAAGUAUUCCACCUGGGGAGUACGCCGGCAACGGUGAAACUCAAAGGAAUUGACGGGG
rnacentral:rRNA from 1 species